rnacentral:rRNA from 1 species
UACGUAGGGGGCAAGCGUUGUCCGGAUUUAUUGGGCGUAAAGGGUUCGCAGGUGGCCUUUUAAGUCAGAUGUGAAAGAUCAAGGCUUAACCUUGGUAAGCAUUUGAAACUGAAAGGCUUGAGUUAAGGAGAGGAAAGUGGAAUUCCUAGUGUAGCGGUGAAAUGCGUAGAUAUUAGGAGGAAUACCAGUGGCGAAGGCGACUUUCUGGACUUAUACUGACACUGAGGAACGAAAGCAUGGGGAGCAAACAGG